rnacentral:rRNA from 1 species
GACGAACGCUGGCGGCGUGCCUAAUACAUGCAAGUCGAACGAAACUUUCUUACACCGAAUGCUUGCAUUCACCGUAAGAAGUUGAGUGGCGGACGGGUGAGUAACACGUGGGUAACCUGCCUAAAAGAAGGGGAUAACACUUGGAAACAGGUGCUAAUACCGUAUAUCUCUAAGGAUCGCAUGAUCCUUAGAUGAAAGAUGGUUCUGCUAUCGCUUUUAGAUGGACCCGCGGCGUAUUAACUAGUUGGUGGGGUAACGGCCUACCAAGGUGAUGAUACGUAGCCGAACUGAGAGGUUGAUCGGCCACAUUGGGACUGAGACACGGCCCAAACUCCUACGGGAGGCAGCAGUAGGGAAUCUUCCACAAUGGACGCAAGUCUGAUGGAGCAACGCCGCGUGAGUGAAGAAGGUCUUCGGAUCGUAAAACUCUGUUGUUAGAGAAGAACACGAGUGAGAGUAACUGUUCAUUCGAUGACGGUAUCUAACCAGCAAGUCACGGCUAACUACGUGCCAGCAGCCGCGGUAAUACGUAGGUGGCAAGCGUUGUCCGGAUUUAUUGGGCGUAAAGGGAACGCAGGCGGUCUUUUAAGUCUGAUGUGAAAGCCUUCGGCUUAACCGGAGUAGUGCAUUGGAAACUGGAAGACUUGAGUGCAGAAGAGGAGAGUGGAACUCCAUGUGUAGCGGUGAAAUGCGUAGAUAUAUGGAAGAACACCAGUGGCGAAAGCGGCUCUCUGGUCUGUAACUGACGCUGAGGUUCGAAAGCGUGGGUAGCAAACAGGAUUAGAUACCCUGAUAGUCCACGCCGUAAACGAUGAAUGCUAGGUGUUGGAGGGUUUCCGCCCUUCAGUGCCGCAGCUAACGCAAUAAGCAUUCCGCCUGGGGAGUACGACCGCAAGGUUGAAACUCAAAGGAAUUGACGGGGGCCCGCACAAGCGGUGGAGCAUGUGGUUUAAUUCGAAGCAACGCGAAGAACCUUACCAGGUCUUGACAUCCUUUGACCACCUAAGAGAUUAGGCUUUCCCUUCGGGGACAAAGUGACAGGUGGUGCAUGGCUGUCGUCAGCUCGUGUCGUGAGAUGUUGGGUUAAGUCCCGCAACGAGCGCAACCCUUGUUGUCAGUUGCCAGCAUUAAGUUGGGCACUCUGGCGAGACUGCCGGUGACAAACCGGAGGAAGGUGGGGACGACGUCAAGUCAUCAUGCCCCUUAUGACCUGGGCUACACACGUGCUACAAUGGACGGUACAACGAGUCGCGAGACCGCGAGGUUUAGCUAAUCUCUUAAAGCCGUUCUCAGUUCGGAUUGUAGGCUGCAACUCGCCUACAUGAAGUCGGAAUCGCUAGUAAUCGCGAAUCAGCAUGUCGCGGUGAAUACGUUCCCGGGCCUUGUACACACCGCCCGUCACACCAUGAGAGUUUGUAACACCCAAAGCCGGUGGGGUAACCGCAAGGAGCCAGCCGUCUAAGGUGGGACAGAUGAUUGGGGUGAAGUCGUAACAAGGUAGCCGUAGGAGAACCUGC